GCCAGACAUGGUGGCGCAUGCCUGUAAUCCCAGCUACUUGGGAGGCUGAGGCAGGAGAAUCGCUUGAACCCAGGAGGUGGAGGUUGCAGUGAGCCAAGACGGUGCCACUGCAUUCCAGCCUGGGCUACAGAGUGAGACUCUGUCUCAA
ensembl:misc_RNA Metazoa_SRP Metazoan signal recognition particle RNA